rnacentral:rRNA from 1 species
UACAGAGGGUGCGAGCGUUAAUCGGAAUUACUGGGCGUAAAGCGCGCGUAGGCGGCUUUGCAAGACGGGUGUGAAAUCCCCAGGCUUAACCUGGGAACUGCAUUCGAGACUGCAUUGCUAGAGUAUGGGAGAGGGAAGUGGAAUUUCCGGUGUAGCGGUGAAAUGCGUAGAUAUCGGAAGGAACAUCAGUGGCGAAAGCGACUUCCUGGACCAAUACUGACGCUCAUGUGCGAAAGCGUGGGGAGCAAACAGG